rnacentral:rRNA from 1 species
AGAGUUGAUCCUGCUCAGACGAACGCUGCGGCGUCCUAAACAUGCAGCCGAGCGACCUUAAGGAGCUGCUCCUUAAGGUAACGGCGGACGGGUGAGUAACACGUGGGCAACCUGCCUGUAAGACUGGGAUAACACCGGGAAACCGGUGCUAAUACCGGAUAAUUCUUCACCUCUCAUGAGGUGAAGCUGAAAGUCGGUUUCGGCUUGACACUUACAGAUGGGCCCGCGGCGCAUUAGCUAGUUGGUGAGGUAACGGCUCACCAAGGCGACGAUGCGUAGCCGACUCUGAGAGGGUGAUCGGCUCACACUGGGACUGAGACACGGCCUUAGACUCUCUACGGGAGGCAGCUAGUAGGGAAUCUUCCGCUAAUGGACGAAAGUCUGACGGAGCAACGCCGCGUGAGUGAUGAAGGCUUUCGGGUCGUAAAACUCUGUUGUUAGGGAAGAACUAAGUACCGGAGUAACUGCCGGUACUUUGCC